UGCUUUGGGUGUGGGCCUGGCCUAAGUUCCUUGGAACAGGACGUCGUAGAGGGUGAGAAUCCCGUAUGCGGCUGGCGCCCGCGCCCAUGUAAAGCUCUUUCGACGAGUCGAGUUGUUUGGGAAUGCAGCUCUAAAUGGGUGGUAAAUUUCAUCUAAAGCUAAAUAUUGGCCAGAGACCGAUAGCGCACAAGUAGAGUGAUCGAAAGAUGAAAAGCACUUUGGAAAGAGAGUUAAACAGUACGUGAAAUUGUUGAAAGGGAAGCGCUGGCAACCAGACUUGGGCGCUGUUGAUCCGUUAGGGUUCUCCCUGGGGUACUCAGCAGUGCGCAGGCCAGCAUCGGUUUGGGGGGUUGGAGAAAGGCUGGUGGAAUGUGGCUGCCUUCGGGCAGUGCUAUAGCCACCGGUGGCAUGCAGCCUCCCCGGACCGAGGACCGCGCUUCGGCUAGGAUGCUGGCGUAAUGGUUGUCAGCGACCCG
rnacentral:rRNA from 1 species